CCUGUUACUACAAACGCCAGUAACUUCUAUUCUUCUUCUUUCUGAAAUCAUCACAAGAUAUGCCUCUGGGGACAGAGAAGAAAUGGCCUCUAGAAGCUCCAUCUCCAGGGUCUUCUCUCUUGGAAGACCAAUCCAGAUUCAACCACAUUUCUGCCUGUUUUUUAUCUUAAGAAAACAUGGAAUUGUUCCUUCAGUCACAUCCACGUGCAUCUUCUACAACAAAGGUGAUAUUGUAGACAUCAUGUUCAAAAAGGAAUUCCCCACAAAUGUUCCCAGAGUGAAACUGGGAGAGUCUAGUGUUAUCCAGCAUGCUGUUGGCACUGCUGGAAACAAACAAGUUACGGGCAGGCUCUGGACAAGAGAAUUAAUGUAAACACUGAGCAGGUUCAGCCCUCUGAGAGCUGAGAUGGCUUCCUGAAAUGUGUGAAGGAAAGUAAUCAGAAAAACAGACAGCCAAGAGAAAAGUACCUGGGCUCAACUGAAG